rnacentral:rRNA from 1 species
AUCGUAAUUGAAGAGGUUUGGAAAGACCCACCACAGAAGGUAAUAGUCCUGUAUGUUAAACGAGAAGACUUCAGAUAUGAUCCAGAGUACCACGGGACACGUGAAACCCUGUGGGAAGCAGGAGGGACCACCCUCCAAGGCUAAAUACUACCUAGUGACCGAUAGCGUAUAGUACCGUGAGGGAAAGGUGAAAAGAACCCCGGGAGGGGAGUGAAAUAGAACCUGAAACCCUGCACUUACAAGCUGUGGAAGCACAUUUCUUGUGUGACCGCGUACUUUUUGUAGAACGGGCCAACGAGUUACGUUAAGUAGCAAGGUUAAGCACUUAAGGUGCGGAGCCGUAGCGAAAGCGAGUUUUAACUGAGCGUUCAGUUACUUGACGUAGACCCGAAACCGGGCGACCUACCCAUGAGCAGGAUGAAGCGAAAGUAAAAUUUCGUGGAGGUCCGAACCCACGAGCGUUGAAAAGCUCGGGGAUGACUUGUGGGUAGCGGUGAAAUUCCAAUCGAGCCCGGAGAUAGCUGGUUCUCCCCGAAAUAGCUUUAGGGCUAGCCUCAAGGUGAGAGAUACGGAGGUAGAGCACUGAAUGUCCUAGGGGGUAUUGCACCUACCGAAGACUAUCAAACUCCGAAUGCCGUCAUCUUAUACUUGGGAGUCAGACUGUGGGUGAUAAGAUUCAUAGUCGAAAGGGCAACAGCCCAGAUCGUCAGCUAAGGUCCCUAAAUGUAAGUUAAGUGGUAAAGGAUGUGGGAUUGCACAGACAACCAGGAUGUUGGCUUAGAAGCAGCCACUCAUUCAAAGAGUGCGUAAUAGCUCACUGGUCGAGUGAUCCUGCGCCGAAGAUUUCCGGGGCUAAAACUUACUACCGAAGCUACGGCAUCAGUAAUGAUGGGUAGGGGAGCUUCCCAUACGGGUUGAAGCAUGACCGUAAGGACAUGUGGACAGUAUGGGAGUGAGAAUGUUGGCAUGAGUAGCGAGAUGUGGGUGAGAAUCCCACAGGCCGUAAACCCAAGGUUUCCAGGGGAAGGUUCGUCCGCCCUGGGUUAGUCGGGACCUAAGCUGAGGCCGAAAGGCGUAGGUGAUGGACAACAGGUUGAUAUUCCUGUACUACCGAUAACCGUUUGAGAGAAGGGAUGACACAGUAGGAUAAGCUAAGCACACUGUUGGUUAUGUGUGCCCAAGCAUUGAGGCAGUCAAAGUAGGCAAAUCCGCUUUGAUAAUGCUGGGAUGUGAUGGGGAGCGAAAUUUAGUAGCGAAGUAGCUGAUUUCACACUGUCAAGAAAAGUCUCUAUCGAGGUUAAAGGUACCCGUACCGCAAACCGACACAGGUGGGUGAGGAGAGUAUCCUAAGGCCAGCGAGAGAACUGUUGUUAAGGAACUCGGCAAAAUGACCCCGUAACUUAGGGAUAAGGGGUGCCACCAUCAGGUGGCCGCAGAGAAUAGGCCCAAGCGACUGUUUACCAAAAACAUAGGUUUCUGCUAAGUCGCAAGACGAUGUAUAGGAGCUGACGCCUGCCCGGUGCUGGAAGGUUAAGGGGAUCUGUUAGAGCAAUCGAAGCAGUGAACUUAAGCCCCAGUAAACGGCGGCCGUAACUAUAACGGUCCUAAGGUAGCGAAAUUCCUUGUCGGGUAAGUUCCGACCCGCACGAAAGGCGUAACGAUUUGGGCACUGUCUCAACAACAGACUCGGUGAAAUUGUAAUUCCGGUGAAGAUGCCGGAUACCUGCGACAGGACGGAAAGACCCCAUGGAGCUUUACUGUAGCUUGACAUUGGGUCUUGGUACUACAUGUACAGGAUAGGUGGGAGGCUUUGAAACCAGGACGCCAGUUUUGGCGGAGCCAUCCUUGGGAUACCACCCUUGUAGUACUGGGACUCUAACCAUAG